rnacentral:rRNA from 1 species
AGAUUGAACGCUGGCGGCAUGCCUUACACACGCAAGUCGAACGGUAGAGUAGCAAUACUCGAGAGUGGCGAACGGGUGAGUAAUAUAUCGGAACGUGCCCAGUCGUGGGGGAUAACGUAGAGAAAUUUACGCUAAUACCGCAUACGAUCUACGGAUGAAAGCGGGGGAUUCGCAAGAACCUCGCGCGAUUGGAGCGGCUGAUAUCAGAUUAGGUUGCUGGUGAGGUAAAAGCUCACCAAGCCGACGAUCUGUAGCUGGUUUGAGAGAACGACCAGCCACACUGGGACUGAGACACGGCCCAGACUCCUACGGAGGCAGCAGUGGGAAUUUUGGACAAUGGGACGAAAGCCUGAUCCAGCAAUGCCGCGUGCAGGAAGAAGGCCUUCGGUGUAAACUGCUUUGUACGGAACGAACGUCCUUCUAAUAAGAGGCUAAUGACGGUACGUAACGAAUAAGCACGACUACUACG